ensembl:lncRNA
AAACUCGGCUCUCCCGGCGUGCCCCGCGGGGGGGCGGGGCCGGGACGCGCCGAGGGCGCAGCCUGUGCCCGCAGGCUGAGGCUCCCAUCAGGCUGUGCGGCGCGAAGCGGCGCUACGGUAUUGCGUUGCCUUCAAGGAGGUAGAAUACUUCAGCAGGAAGGUGAGAGGGAGAUGAGAAUGUGAAGGGAAAAGCCCUGCUUUCAGGUGGAGGAGCCUCACCUGUGUUGGGCUGGAGACAGAUAGCAGUUGAAGUAUUUUCUCCUGCACAACUCCCACUGCCCCGCCAUGGGACAGGACUGAACUGGAGGCAGAUCAAGCGUUUGCUCACAGGCUCACCUUGGGAUCCCCAGAGAAGAAACUGCAGGUGGCGACAGAGGUAAAGAACCCAUCUGCCAAUGCAGGAGACAUAAGAGAUGUGGGUUCGAUCCCUGGGUCAGGAAGAUCCCCUGGAGGAUGGCAACCCACUCCGGUAUUCUUGUCUGGAGAAUCCCCAAAGAUAGAGGAGCCUGGCGGGCUACAGUCCAUGGGAUCGCAAAGUUGGACCCGACUGAAGUGGCUUAGCACACACGCACCUCCUUGUUUAAACUCG